UACGAAGGGGGCUAGCGUUGCUCGGAAUCACUGGGCGUAAAGGGUGCGUAGGCGGGUCUUUUAAGUCAGGGGUGAAAUCCUGGAGCUCAACUCCAGAACUGCCUUUGAUACUGAGGAUCUUGAGUUCGGGAGAGGUGAGUGGAACUGCGAGUGUAGAGGUUGAAAUUCGUAGAUAUUCGCAAGAACACCAGUGGCGAAGGCGGCUCACUGGCCCGAGUACUGACGCUGAGGCACGAAAGCGUGGGGAGCAA
rnacentral:rRNA from 1 species